GCCUCUGUCUAGUCAUUCAGGGAACAAGUGGCCAUUCAAAGUGUGCUGAUCCUCUGUUGACACACAGACACAAGCCUACCAGCCUCCAUUCCAGCCCUGCAACAACACCAAACUGAUGCAAGGCUCCUCCACAAUGCAGUCAAAAGACUCGGAAUGACGGAGGCCCCAUCGCCAUGGUAACCGGGUUUGUGCAGCUGAGCAUUGCGCUCGGAGCAGUGGCUGUGGUUAUUGGUGAAGGAUUGGAACUGGCCCAUUAGCUCCACGCCUCCAAACAUCGAAGGCCUAAUAGAUGCAGGGAAAGAGGACUUCAGCUAUGAUCAAUACUCAUCCAGGUUCAGAAUUCACUUGGAAAAUACAGCUGUCAGCAGCAGGCCAGCCGAUCAAUAACAACAUCUAAACACUAGAAGAUUGCACAUACUAUUGAAAACUCAUCAGCUAAAGUAUCUGCCUUUAUACUUGCCCAUCUGGAACGUUUUACAGUAAGUGAGUAAUAAAGCAUCUUAUACAUAAAUGCCUCUACUAUUCAAAAGUUUGGAGUCGGUAAGAUCUUUAUGUAACAAUGCAAAUAUUGAAAAGAAGAAGAAAAAAAAAAUUUGGUGCUCAAGAAACAAUUCUUUUUUUUUUUUUAAACAAUUGUGCAGAUUAAUACACUGUGAAAACUGUGAUCAAUUCAUUAAUAUACAGGGUAGCCAAUAAUAUAUGAAAAUUAAUACAUUUUAAUCCUUCUAUUAUCAAUUUGGCAGUAGAGUGCAUUGCUGAUUGGGCAAAUGAGGUGCGAGUCUGCCCUCUAGGGGUUAUCAAGAG